rnacentral:lncRNA from 1 species
ACAGAAACCAUACUGUGUAUUUCAGCAGAGAAUUCAAUAUGUGGAAUUAUUUUCACAAGUAUUAGAGAACUGGGAGGACAAAAGCACUGAAGUAACAUAGACAUUGUAACUGCAGGCAUCAACUCACUACCCCAAAAGCUGACAGAUAAAAAAAAAAAAUGGAAGAGGCAGAAAGAACUUCUAAGAAGACACUGGUUAUUAGCAGUGCCUUAAGAACUUGGAAAAAUGGACUGCAUGGAAAUGAGGCCUAGACUGCUCAGCACAGGAUGUGAUUUGGCUAGUGCUGAAGAAGCUGGAGAGGAAAUUGUGUGCUGCAACAGAAAGAUGAUCAUUUUAUCUCAUCCCCUGAUUCACUACUCAGAAAUUCCAGGAUACUUUCAAAUAGAAUAAAAAAACUUUUGAAGAAAUGAACUAAAUCUGAAAGAAAGCUUCAGAAAGGGUCAGCAAAAGAAACUGCUGUUUACCAGAUGGAGUACACAAUCUAUUCCCAAGCUAUACUUCUCCCAAAUGCUCCAUCUUUUCCGCCAAUAACACAAGACAUAUAUUUGGAUUUAACAAGCUGAAUCCGCUUUUCAUUAUAAUUUAUUUAUAUUCAUCCCUAAUCAAAAUGGACUCAAAGGAAUCACAGAAUAAAUUAAAUCAAUUAAUUAAACAUCCUGACUUUUCAAGAGACACUCAGUAUGUCACAAGAUUCCUCUGCUCUUCUCUAAAAUGGCCACAGGGGAAAAGAAACUUUAGCUUAAUUCUGGGUAUAAGAAUAUAAAGAUGAAGCUGGGAUAUUUUUAGUGGCAAUGUGUCUGAAU